rnacentral:rRNA from 1 species
UGGGGAAUAUUGCACAAUGGGCGAAAGCCUGAUGCAGCAACGCCGCGUGAGUGAUGAAGGCCUUCGGGUUGUAAAGCUCUGUCUUUUGGGACGAUAAUGACGGUACCAAAGGAGGAAGCCACGGCUAACUACGUGCCAGCAGCCGCGGUAAUACGCAGGUGGCAAGCGUUGUCCGGAUUUACUGGGCGUAAAGGAUGCGUAGGCGGAUUUUUAAGUGAGAUGUGAAAUACCCGGGCUUAACUUGGGUGCUGCAUUUCAAACUGGGAAUCUAGAGUGCGGGAGAGGAGAAUGGAAUUCCUAGUGUAGCGGUGAAAUGCGUAGAGAUUAGGAAGAACACCAGUGGCGAAGGCGAUUCUCUGGACCGUAACUGACGCUGAGGCAUGAAAGCGUGGGUAGCAAACAGGAUUAGAUACCCUGGUAGUCCACGCCGUAAACGAUGAGUACUAGGUGUAGGAGGUAUCGACCCCUUCUGUGCCGCAGUUAACACAAUAAGUACUCCGCCUGGGAAGUACGAUCGCAAGAUUAAAACUCAAAUGAAUUGAC